GACGAACGCUGGCGGCGUGCCUAAUACAUGCAAGUCGGACGCAGUUGCGAACGGGUGAGUAACGCGUAGGUAACUGCCUAUUAGUGGGGGCUAACUAUUGGAAACGAUAGCUAAUACCGCCUACUAGUGGAUGUACCUGCGUUGUAUUAGCUAGUAGGGAGGGUACUGCGCUACCUAGGCAAAGGUACCUAGUCGGCCUGGGAAGGGGGUCGGCCAAACUGGGACUGGGACACGGCCCAGACUCAUACGGGAGGGAAGAGGAGGGAAAGUUCGGCAAUGGGGGGAAACCUGAACGAAGAAAGGCGGGUGAUUGAAGAAGGUUUGCGGAGCGUAAAGCUCUGUUGUUAAGGGAGCGGUACUUAACCAGAAAGGAACGGCUAACUACGUGCCAGCAGCCGCGGUAAUAC
rnacentral:rRNA from 1 species